rnacentral:misc_RNA from 1 species
CGAGCACACGCAACUCGUUUGAUCAGCCCUCCCGCAGCCCUCCCGACACCGUGCAGCGUCACAGCGACGGUGGAGGCGACAUCUCUGCUUCCACAUUAUGCUGCAUGUGGGCAGGCGCUGCUCCGUGGCGGAGCAUGGCCCGCAUGGAUUGGGAUGACGGCGCAACCGCAGUGCUGCCGCGCCUUGUACGCGAACGGCGUCUACUCGCUUUCCUCCACCAGCGACGAUAGUGGGAGCUCCAGCGCCACGAGAAGAGUCAUGCGCUGCCGGGGCAGACCAAAUACACGUCGAAAAGGAGACCGUCCGUCGAUGCUCUUCUCCUUUGCCUUCCCCUUGCCCUGUUGCAACCUUCUCUGCUUCCGUCGUGAGUGCACCCGACGCUGGCGGCGGAAUGCUGCAUGCACUACGCGCUGAUGCUGUACCUGGACGCCGCUGUGCCGCAGGAGUGUGGCACGCCGAAGCACGCGCCGUUCUUCAUAACGGAGCCGGUGCGGUGGUGCUGCGGAUCGAGUGCGCGCGUGCUGGAGGGCGGUGUCGACGGGCGCGGUGGACUACGAGGUGAACGAGACUCACUUGACGGGUGCGCAGGCGCUGUCGGACUACCUGCUGGAUACGUGGUACGUGCACGACAUGCCGCGCUACGGCGCUGUGUCGUGCAUUGAUCGGAACGUGACGGCGCUGCUGAGAUUUGCGGAUGAGUGGCGCGGCACCAACGUGAACGUGCUCCUGUACAACUCCUCCUCGCACCACCAGGCUGGGCUGAACCUCGCAACGUACUACGACCUGUUCAUCAAGUCCUUCCUCGGCCGCGACAGCGCGUUCAUGCGGUACAAGGUGGAGCUGUUUAACGAGCCUGCGAGCCAGUCGCAGCUGGGCUUCAUCGUUGGCGCGCCCGGUGGGCGGCCCGCAGGUGGUCUUCCUGGACGAGCCGUCGGCCGGCAUGGACCCUGUGGCGCGACGCGGGAUGUGGACUGCGAUCCAGCGCGCCGCGGGGCACUGCUCCGUUGUGCUGACGACGCACCACCUGGAGGAGGUGGAGGCGCUCGCGGACAUUGUGGCGAUCAUGGUGCGCGGGUACGUGCGGUGCGUCGGCGACAAGGUGCACCUGAAGAACAAGUUCGGCAGCGCCUUCGAGGUGAGCGUGCGGCUCGCGUCGGCGCAGCACGCGGAGCUCUUUGCGUCGUUCAUGCAGGCGGCGUUCCCCGACGCUGUGCGGAGCGAAGGCGAGGGCCGGCGGCUCGUGUACCAGCUGCCGCGCGAUCGCGGCUUCGGCGACGUGUUCCAGACGUUCCAGGCGAACAAGGAGCAGCUGCACAUCACGGGCUACAGCGUGUCGCAGACAGCCCAUUCGGCGGAUGGAUUUUCCAGUUUUUCCUGGGGUCACGGUGUGGUAGUUGAGGGUAGCUGACGAAGGGGUGGUGAAAUUGUGUUUUUGGUCGACUUGUUGCUGUGCAUGCGUGUGCAAGCAAAGGCGUUGAAGCGGUGCGGCUGCUGUGCGUUCGCAAUUUUUUUUUGUUGGUUUGGCGCUGCUAAUCUUCGUGUAUGUUCUGUCAGCGCGCGUGCGGCACUCUUCUUGUGUCUUAACACUGCGGAAGUGUGCUGGCUCGUGGAGAAUUUUGACGGCUUUCAUGCCAACAUGCG